UACCAGCACCCCGAGUGGUCGGGACGUUUUAUUGGGCCUAAAGCAUCCGUAGCCGGUUCUACAAGUCUUCCGUUAAAUCCAGCUGCUUAACAGAUGGGCUGCGGAAGAUACUAUGGAGCUAGGAGGCGGGAGAGGCAAGCGGUACUCGAUGGGUAGGGGUAAAAUCCGUUGAUCCAUUGAAGACCACCAGUGGCGAAGGCGGCUUGCCAGAACGCGCUCGACG
rnacentral:rRNA from 1 species